rnacentral:rRNA from 1 species
UACGUAGGGGCAAGCGUUGUCCGGAUUUAUUGGGCGUAAAGAGCGUGUAGGCGGCCUUACAGGUCAGCUGUGAAAACUCGAGGCUCAACCUCGAGACGUCGGUUGAAACCGUAAGGCUAGAGUCCGGAAGAGGAGAGUGGAAUUCCCGGUGUAGCGGUGAAAUGCGCAGAUAUCGGGAAGAACACCCGUGGCGAAGGCGGGCUCUCUGGGACGGUACUGAACGCAUGAG